rnacentral:rRNA from 1 species
GAUGAACGCUAGCUACAGGCUUAACACAUGCAAGUCGAGGGGAAACGGCAUUAAGUGCUUGCACUUUUUGGACGUCGACCGGCGCACGGGUGAGUAACGCGUAUCCAACCUUCCCAUGACUAAGGGAUAACCUGCCGAAAGGCAGACUAAUACCUUAUGGUCUUCACUGACGGCAUCAGAUGUGAAGUUAAGAUUUAUCGGUUAUGGAUGGUGAUGCGUCUGAUUAGCUUGUUGGUGGGGUAACGGCCCACCAAGGCAACGAUCAGUAGGGGUUCUGAGAGGAAGGUCCCCCACAUCGGAACUGAGACACGGUCCAAACUCCUACGGGAGGCAGCAGUGAGGAAUAUUGGGCAAUGGGCGAGAGCCUGAACCAGCCAAGUAGCGUGCAGGAUGACGGCCCUAUGGGUUGUAAACUGCUUUUGUAUGGGGAUAAAGUCAAUCACGCGUGAUUGUUUGCAGGUACCAUACGAAUAAGAACCGGCUAAUUCCGUG